UGGGGAAUAUUGGACAAUGGGCGCAAGCCUGAUCCAGCCAUGCCGCGUGAGUGAUGAAGGCCCUAGGGUUGUAAAGCUCUUUCACCGGUGAAGAUAAUGACGGUAACCGGAGAAGAAGCCCCGGCUAACUUCGUGCCAGCAGCCGCGGUAAUACGAAGGGGGCUAGCGUUGUUCGGAUUUACUGGGCGUAAAGCGCACGUAGGCGGACUAUUAAGUAAGGGGUGAAAUCCCGGGGCUCAACCCCGGAACUGCCUUUGAUACUGGUAGUCUUGAGUUCGAGAGAGGUGAGUGGAAUUCCGAGUGUAGAGGUGAAAUUCGUAGAUAUUCGGAGGAACACCAGUGGCGAAGGCGGCUCACUGGCUCGAUACUGACGCUGAGGUGCGAAAGCGUGGGGAGCAAACAGG
rnacentral:rRNA from 1 species